UAUUUCUACAUUUUUUUACAAUAUUUUAGAGUAUGAAUGUUGAACAGGCGGUCUAGGGACAUGCCAUUUUGGUUGUUUUGGACCAUUCAGGAAUCAAUAUCUUAUCAAUCCCUCUAAAAAAUAAUCUGCUUCUUUGCUUUAAAAUGUUAUAUCUAAUUCAAUGUACUGACUGCACAAAAAAUUACUUGCAAAGAUCAAACACAUUUUUUUUAAAGUGGCUGGGAC
rnacentral:lncRNA from 1 species